GUCCUUGAUGAGGUCCACCUAAUUGAGGCAUAGACCGCCCCAUGUCCCUGUUCGCAGGGAGAACCUACUUGGGGUCCUAUGUUGUAAUGAAAUCACUGGAUACGCCUGAGAC
rfam:Punica granatum cultivar Dabenzi scaffold123, whole genome shotgun sequence.